AAUUAGGGAGCAGUACUAAAAAUUUAUAAAUUAGAUAGCCAACGUACAACUCUAAAAAAUAAAAUCGCAUCGAAUAACUUAUUUUAUUAGCUUUCUUAGAUUGUUCUUGUCUUGAUGCUUCUUGAUCUUUCACGUAUCUCAUCUCUUUCCAUGCAUUACGGAUCUGAUCGGAUGCGAAGAGAUGAGAUGCAAAGAGGAGUUAUAUACCAGAGUCCUCUUCACAUAAUGUUUCUCUUUUUUUUUAU
rnacentral:lncRNA from 1 species